rnacentral:lncRNA from 1 species
GAAAAACCGAAAAGCCUUUGAAUGGGGACUGGCUUUAACUUCUGCCGUAGCUUCCGGCCAAGAACCCAACAAAUAUCGGUAUCAUUUGAACAAUAAAACCUUCAAUCUCUACAUCUUCAAUAGAAGGAAGAAAACCUUUUCCUGAAGAAAUUAGAUAGCGAGGCCAAACUAUUUGGAGUGAUUACUAGAUCAACCCAAUGGCAUCUACACACAGGAGGACCUGAAAGAAAUCCCCCAUUCACCUUUCUUCUAUUUGGACAUAAUCUCCAUAUUAUUGGAAAAUUUAUUUGGUAAGCAUAAAUAUCCCCAUUUCAUUAAUCUUUCCUUAUUUAUCACAAUCAGAAGGUAGA